GCCUCUGUGGAUUAGUGGUUAAUCGCCUCGAUCAUGUGUUGUUUAAAUAAACUUCCGAUAUCGGGGAGUCGUGGGUUCGAAUCCCACCGGAGGCA